rnacentral:rRNA from 1 species
CCUACGGGUGGCAGCAGUGAGGAAUAUUGGUCAAUGGACGAGAGUCUGAACCAGCCAAGUAGCGUGAAGGAUGACUGCCCUAUGGGUUGUAAACUUCUUUUAUAUGGGAAUAAAAUGUUCCACGUGUGGGAUUUUGUAUGUACCAUAUGAAUAAGGAUCGGCUAACUCCGUGCCAGCAGCCGCGGUAAUACGGAGGAUCCGAGCGUUAUCCGGAUUUAUUGGGUUUAAAGGGAGCGUAGGUGGAUUGUUAAGUCAGUUGUGAAAGUUUGCGGCUCAACCGUAAAAUUGCAGUUGAAACUGGCAGUCUUGAGUACAGUAGAGGUGGGCGGAAUUCGUGGUGUAGCGGUGAAAUGCUUAGAUAUCACGAAGUACUCCGAUUGCGAAGGCAGUUCACUGGACUGCAACUGACACUGAGGCUCGAAAGUGUGGGUAUCAAACAGGAUUAGAUACCCUUGUAGUC